GGCUUAACCAUGCAAGUCGAGGGGCAGCGGGAGCAGCAAUGCUUGCCGGCGACCGGCGCACGGGUGCGUAACGCGUAUGCAACCUGCCUCCAAGCGAGGGAUAAUCCGGCGAAAGCCGUUCUAAUACCUCAUAAUACAGGGAUUCCGCAUGGGAAUAUUGGUUAAAGGAGCAAUCCGCUUGGAGAUGGGCAUGCGUUCCAUUAGGUAGUUGGUUAGGGUAACGGCCUACCAAGCCAUCGAUGGAUAGGGGUUCUGAGAGGAAGGUCCCCCACACUGGUACUGAGACACGGACCAGACUCCUACGGGAGGCAGCAGUGAGGAAUAUUGGUCAAUGGCCGGAAGGCUGAACCAGCCAAGUCGCGUGAAGGAAGAAGGAUCUAUGGUUCGUAAACUUCUUUUACGGGGGGGUAAAGUGCGGUACGCGUACCGUAUUGCAAGUACCCCGUGAAUAAGCAUCGGCUAACUCCGUGCCAGCAGCCGCGGUAAUACGGAGGAUGCGAGCGUUAUCCGGAUUUAUUGGGUUUAAAGGGUGCGUAGGUGGGAUAUUAAGUCGGCGGUGAAAGUUUGUCGCUCAACGAUAAGAUUGCCGUUGAAACUGGUAUCCUUGAGUAGGAUUGGAGCAGGCGGAAUGUGUGGUGUAGCGGUGAAAUGCAUAGAUAUCACGCAGAACUCCGACCGCGAAGGCAGCUUGCUAAGUCCCGACUGACACUGAAGCACGAAAGCGUGGGUAUCAAACAGGAUUAGAUACCCUGGUAGUCCACGCGGUAAACGAUGAUAACUAAUGGUUGGCGAUAGACAGUCAGCCCUACAGCGAAAGCGUUAAGUUAUCCACCUGGGGAGUACGCCGGCCACGGUGAAACUCAAAGGAAWUGACGGGGGCCCGCACAAGCGGAGGAACAUGUGGUUUAAUUAGAUGAUACGCGAGGAACCUUACCCGGGUUUGAACGCAGGAUGAAUGGGAGUGAAAGCUUCCGGUCAGCAAUGACAUUCUGGGAGGUGCUGCAUGGUUGUCGUCAGCUCGUGCCGAGAGGUGUCGGCCAUAAGUGCCAUAACGAGCGCAACCCUUGCCGUCAGUAGCCAUCMMGGGAAGCUGGGGACUCUGACGGGACCGCCGGCGUAAGAUGCGAGGGAGGUGGGGAUGACGUCAAAUCCCCACGGCCCUUACGUCCGGCGCGACACACAUGUUACAAUGGAGGGGACGGAGGGCGGCGAUCCGGAGACGCUGACCGAAUCCUCAAACCCCAUUUCAGUUGGGAUCGAAGUCUGCAACCCGACUUGUUGGAGCCGGAUUCGCUAGUAAUCGAGCAUCAGGCAUGGCGGGGUGAAUCCGUUCCCUGGGCCUCGCGCACACCGCCCGACAGGGACAUGGGAGUCCGGGGAGCACCAAGUC
rnacentral:rRNA from 1 species